CGCUGUAGAAGGACAGAGUGCCGGUUGGACGGUCCACACACACUCCUACUCUGUACACACACACUCCUCUACCAUCAUCAUCAUCAUCAUCACACACUCCUGCUCUGCGGUAGGGGGAGGUGAGGGCAGGUAUGUCUGUUCGGUUCUUAUUGUGCCAGACAGAGUAUCUGAGUUUAUCAGAGUGACCGUAAUCAUCAAAG